CUCCAGGACCCCAGGGCAGACCAGGCCGGCCUGGACAGCAGGGUGUGGCUGGUGAGCGAGGCCACUUGGGCUCGAGAGGCUUUCCUGGCAUCCCGGGUCCCUCAGGUCCCCCAGGCACCAAGGGCCUCCCAGGAGAACCGGGCCCUCAGGGACCCCAGGGGCCAGUUGGGCCUCCAGGAGAGAUGGGACCCAAGGGGCCGCCGGGUGCAGUGGGAGAACCGGGCCUUCCUGGGGAAGCCGGGAUGAAGGGUGACCUUGGACCCCUGGGCACUCCUGGGGAGCAGGGCCUCAUUGGGCAACGGGGAGAGCCAGGCCUCGAGGGUGACAGUGGCCCCAUGGGACCUGAUGGGCUGAAGGGGGACAGGGGAGACCCAGGGCCUGAUGGAGAACAUGGCGAGAAAGGCCAGGAAGGGCUGAUGGGUGAGGACGGGCCCCCCGGCCCCCCUGGCGUCACUGGUGUCCGGGGUCCUGAAGGAAAAUCAGGGAAGCAAGGCGAGAAGGGCCGCACUGGAGCCAAGGGCGCCAAGGGCUACCAAGGACAGCUGGGGUGUUCCGGGACGCAUGGGGGCCCAAGGAGAACCGGGACUGGCUGGUUAUGAUGUAAG
rnacentral:lncRNA from 1 species